AUUGAACGCUGGCGGCAGGCCUAACACAUGCAAGUCGAGCGAGCGGCGGGCGGGUGAGUAAUGUCUGGGAAACUCCCUGAUGGGGGGGGAGAACUACUGGAAAAGGUGGAGAAUACACCAUACCCUAAGAGGUGCCCCGAGGGGAUUAGCUCGUAGGUGGGGUAACGGCUCACCUAGGCGACGCGCCCUAGCUGGUGUGAGAGGAUGACCAGCCACACUGGAACUGAGACACGGUCCAGACUCCUACGGGAGGCAGCAGGGGGGAAUAUUGCACAAUGGGCGCAAGCCUGAUGCAGCCAUGCCGCGUGUGUGAAGAAGGCCUUCGGGUUGUAAAGCACUUUCAGCGGGGAGGCGUUACCCGCAGAAGAAGCACCGGCUAACUCCGUGCCAGCAGCCGCGGUAAUUC
rnacentral:rRNA from 1 species